rnacentral:misc_RNA from 1 species
UCUCUCUCUCUCUCUCUAAUUUUCCCCAAGCACUAAUAUCCUUCAAAGAGUUGAUUCAACCUCCAACCUUACUCAUAAUCGUUAAAAAGAAAAAAGAGAGACCCAAAAACUUCCCCUCCCCCCUCUCUCUCUCUCUCUCAUUUCUUCCUCUCAUGGAGCAGAUGAAGCUCUACAGACCCAUCCACAACCAUGUGCAGUCCCUAACAGCUUCCUAUCGCACUUGGUUUCACCUGAAUCACUCAUGGAGAAAUGGAUGGAAUGCUCUGGUUCAAACACUUCUCCCCUUGGAUUCACACAAAUGAUCUAUGGCGCUCCCCUAGACUUUGUCCCUGACCAAAACAACCACUGAAAGUGGUGGAGGCAGCAAUGGUGUUGGCUGCUGCUGCUUCUUCUGGAUUUGUUUUGGAUUCUGGAUUUGUGUUUGAAUUUGUUGAUUUCUGUUGUUUUUCAUUUGGUGUUUGUUGAUUGAUUUUUUUUCUGAUUGAUUUUUUUUCCAUUUGGCUUUGUGCAUUCUGAGUUGAUCCUGCUUCAUGAUUUCAGCGUAAUGUCGUUUCUAUUUUGUUUGAAUCAACCCAGGUUUCUUUGUUGUUGAAUCUGACAGAGGGGGGGGGGGGGGGUUGGAAG